ACGCACGCUGGCGGCGUGCUUAACACAUGCAAGUCGAACGGAAAGGCCCUGCUUUUGUGGGGUGCUCGAGUGGCGAACGGGUGAGUAACACGUGAGUAACCUGCCCUUGACUUUGGGAUAACUUCAGGAAACUGGGGCUAAUACCGGAUAGGAGCUCCUGCUGCAUGGUGGGGGUUGGAAAGUUUCGGCGGUUGGGGAUGGACUCGCGGCUUAUCAGCUUGUUGGUGGGGUAGUGGCUUACCAAGGCUUUGACGGGAAGCCGGCCUGAGAGGGUGACCGGCCACAUUGGGACUGAGAUACGGCCCAGACUCCUACGGGAGGCAGCAGUGGGGAAUAUUGCACAAUGGGCGGAAGCCUGAUGCAGCAACGCCGCGUGCGGGAUGACGGCCUUCGGGUUGUAAACCGCUUUCGCCUGUGACGAAGCGUGAGUGACGGUAAUGGGUAAAGAAGCACCGGCUAACUACGUG
rnacentral:rRNA from 1 species